UACGUAGGGGGCAAGCGUUGUCCGGAUUUACUGGGCGUAAAGCGUGCGCAGGCGGUUCGCCAAGUCAGGUGUGAAAUCCCCGGGCUUAACCUGGGAAUUGCGCUUGAAACUAGCGGGCUUGAGUGUGGCAGAGGGGGGUGGAAUUCCACGUGUAGCAGUGAAAUGCGUAGAGAUGUGGAGGAACACCGAUGGCGAAGGCAGCCCCCUGGGUCAACACUGACGCUCAUGCACGAAAGCGUGGGGAGCAAACAGG
rnacentral:rRNA from 1 species